rnacentral:sRNA from 1 species
AAAAUAAGGUUACUACAGAAACCAUUACGACGAUUACCACCGGAACCAUGAGUUACGGGGCGGGCUGACGCGUACACAUAAAAUAAUAAAAAGCCCGUAUCCCUCAAGAUACGGGCUUUUUUUUG